GAUGAACGCUAGCGGGAGACUUAACACAUGCAAGUCGAGGGGCAUCACGAGGUAGCAAUACUUUGGUGGCGACCGGCGCACGGGUGAGUAACGCGUAUGCAACCUACCCUGUACAGGGGGAUAGCCCGGAGAAAUUCGGAUUAAUACCCCAUAAUGAUAUUUUAUGGCAUCAUAAAAUAUUUAAAGCUCAGGCGGUACGGGAUGGGCAUGCGUAACAUUAGCUAGUUGGUAGGGUAAUGGCCUACCAAGGCGACGAUGUUUAGGGGUCCUGAGAGGGGGAUACCCCACACUGGUACUGAGACACGGACCAGACUCCUACGGGAGGCAGCAGUGAGGAAUAUUGGUCAAUGGGCGCGAGCCUGAACCAGCCAUCCCGCGUGAAGGAAGACUGCCCUAUGGGUUGUAAACUUCUUUUCCAGGGGAAUAAAAUCUCGAACGAGUUCGGGACUGAAGGUACCCUGGGAAUAAGCAUCGGCUAACUCCGUGCCAGCAGCCGCAGUAAGAC
rnacentral:rRNA from 1 species